rnacentral:rRNA from 1 species
GACGAACGCUGGCGGCGUGCUUAACACAUGCAAGUCGAACGAUGAAGCCGGAGCUUGCUCUGGUGAAUUAGUGGCGAACGGGUGAGUAGCACGUGAGUAACCUGCCCUUGACUCUGGGAUAACUGCUAGAAAUGGUAGCUAAUACCGGAUACGACCCUCGGAGGCAUCUUCAGGGGGUGGAAAGAAUUUCGGUCAAGGAUGGACUCGCGGCCUAUCAGCUAGUUGGUGAGGUAAUGGCUCACCAAGGCGACGACGGGUAGCCGGCCUGAGAGGGUGACCGGCCGAACUGGGACUGAGACACGGCCCAGACUCCUACGGGAGGCAGCAGUGGGGAAUAUUGCACAAUGGGCGCAAGCCUGAUGCAGCAACGCCGCGUGAGGGAUGACGGCCUUCGGGUUGUAAACCUCUUUUAGUAGGGAAGAAGCGAAAGUGACGGUACCUGCAGAAAAAGCACCGGCUAACUACGUGCCAGCCGCCGCGGUAA